rnacentral:ribozyme from 1 species
UUACAAGCAGCGCGUGAUUGCGAAAUUUUGUGCGCUCAAUUUGAUUACAGUAGUACUGUGUGGUUCUCAAUCGAUAGUUUCGGAAACAAAAAUGGAGACAGAGAGAAGGAUUGUUCAACUAAAAUCUCCUCCAUUGCACGUAGAUUCGGAUCGAGUUGGUUGGAUGAGGCAAGCCCUAAGUGGUAGUAACAU